rnacentral:rRNA from 2 species
AAAAGAAACCAACAGGGAUUACCUCAGUAACGGCGAGUGAAGCGGUAACAGCUCAAAUUUGAAAGCUGCCAACAGGCCGCGUUGUAAUUUGUAGAAGCUGCUUUGGGUGUCGGCCCGGUCUAAGUUCCUUGGAACAGGACGUCAUAGAGGGUGAGAAUCCCGUAUGUGAUCGGUGCCGUUGCCCGUGUAAAGCGCUUUCGACGAGUCGAGUUGUUUGGGAAUGCAGCUCAAAAUGGGUGGUAAAUUUCAUCUAAAGCUAAAUAUUGGCCAGAGACCGAUAGCGCACAAGUAGAGUGAUCGAAAGAUGAAAAGCACUUUGGAAAGAGAGUUAAACAGUACGUGAAAUUGUUGAAAGGGAAGCGCUUGCAACCAGACUUGCGGGCGGUCGAUCAUCCGAGGUUCUCCCCGGUGCACUCGAUCGUUCUCAGGCCAGCAUCGGUUUCCGGGGUGGGAUAAAGGCGGUGGGAAUGUGGCUCUUCGGAGUGUUAUAGCCCACCGUGCAAUGCCGCCACUGGGGACCGAGGACCGCGCUUCGGCUAGGAUGCUGGCGUAAUGGUUGUAAGCGACC